GGUACCCCAUCUAAGUACUAACCGCGCCCGACGCUGCUUAAUUUCGGUGAUCGGACGAGAACCGAUGUAUUCAGCGUAGUAUGGUCGUUGGC
rnacentral:rRNA from 10 species